UAUGAAAAAUAGGGAGGAAACCCCAGAGCCCAAUAGUACAUGCAUGCCUUUCAACAGGACAUUGAUGAUUGUGAGAUCAGAGACUUGGGAUAUAGAGGUGAUUGCUUCACUUGGUAGAGAGGAAGAAUUUGCGAGAGGCUUGACAGAGGCCUCAUUAACAAAACCUGGGCAGCAAUGCAUCCUCAUGCGUCGUUGGAGAAUUUGGGGUAUAACCACUCCAACCACAGGCCGUUAUUGGUUGAUACCAAUUUUUACGUACAACAACCGAGUGGUGGGGCUCACGUUAAAAGAUUUGAAGCUCGUUGGUUACGAGAAAAUGCUUUUAAUGAGAAAGUCCAAGAAGCUUGGAAUGAGGCUGGAAGCAAUCCCACAACAAAUAAUAUACAUGAGAAGCUCGACCUCAUGCAUAGAGCGUUCCAUGAUUGGGAUCAAAGAGUGUUGAAAAAGUAA
rnacentral:rRNA from 1 species